UCUAAUUUGGCAGAUUAAUGUAUUAAAUUUAGAAUUUAACAAUGAUUUUAUCAAUUAGAA
rnacentral:tRNA from 1 species